CAGAGAUUUAUGCAACAUGCCAAAGGUUACACAGCUGGACAUAGCAGAACCAAGAUUCAAAUCUCCACAGGAAGAAAACUAUGAGUUAACAUGUAACCUCCUGGACUUUAGGCUCUAAUCAAUGGUGAAAAGCAAACUAGAUAAAGGAGGAACCUACCUUUUGUGAUUCAAUGACAUGGCUAAUGUGGGCUGUAUGAUUCUUCUCACGGAGUUCUAUCUCCCAAAGUAUUACUCAUUUUUCUGUUUGACUUUUCCAUUGAUUUUCCACUGAUACUUUUCUGAUUAAUGAGACCCCUGUUAUGAAUUAUGAAGCACUGUGAGAAUGCCUUCACAUAUCUGUGGAUUAUAUCUGUGGCUUAAUUUUUAUCUUGUCUAGAGCGAUGAGGGACUCUGGCUUCUCAAGAGACUCUCAGUGUGGAAACCUUCCUGAAAGCUCUGUGUGGAGGUGGUAAACUGCCCUGAAAUAGACUUCUUAGAGAAGGAAGCAGAACAGAAUGUUCACAUAAAAGUGCUAGGUUGGAUAAUAAUCAUAUUUAGCACUUACAUAACAGUUUUCAUUUCCCAAACACUUUAUAAACAGCAACUAAAUAAACCUUUCAACAUCUCCAUUAAAUAGAUAAAUAAGCACUAUUAUCUUAGCGUUCUGUUUGGUGGAGAAAAAAAAGUCUGUACUCGUUUAUAACUGCAGGAGAUUAUUUCAGAAUAAUGAUUCCAACUCCAGUGUCUGUAAGCCAGUCUCAAGCUCUACCUGUUCCAAUUUUCUUUUCAAGGCAACUGAUUAACUGGUGCUCAUGUUGGUCAUUGUGAAACUGCAGUCAAAGCCAUUUCUCUGCAGCAAUCUAAGUUCAAAGAGUUACUCAGAGAUGAAUGCCUGGGAAGUUUCCAUUAUAGGCCUGACUUGAUAAAGGAAAAAGUAAAUAAGUACCUGAAAUAUCAGGAGGAUGUGAACUGCCCAAGCUUGUCUCAGUUCCUGAGAUCUUCCUCAGUUAACAUUAAUAAUGCUCCCCAGCCAGAUAAUGAAUCCCUCACCAAGGCCUGGUGGAAGAUGGCAUACUGCUUGCAUUUGGUGAGCCUCCAAGGUUUCGAUUCUUUCAACAGAAGCAUAUUGAUUUCCUUUCUUCAUGUUUUCUCAGAGUCACAAAGUGUCACUGCCUACUUUUUCCAGGCUCCCUGAAAAUUUUUUAACAUGUUUUCUGCUUGCUCUACUUCCUGCUGUUCCUUUUCACUGAAAAAAGAAUUUAAUAGCCUGUUUUGAUUCAAAGAAGGCAUGUGAAUGUACUUUUCUGCAACUAAAGUACAAUUUGUUUACAAAUGUUGGCAUGGCACAAACGAACCAUUAUAUGACUUCCUUCACUAUUUGAUGGCUUUGUUCUUAAAAAUGUUAAAGUACCAAAUCAGUUCUCAUUUAUGUUAUCCCUUUUAAGCUAAAGCCUUCUUAAUAUGGACAGAGUGGUGGUUGAGGGUGCAGGCUCUGGCAUCAAACUGCUUUGCCAAGUUGUUUAAAUCUCUUAGUCUUAGUUUCUCAAGAGUAAAGUGGAACCAUUGACAAUACUGAUGUGAGCAGGUUGUUAUGGGGAUUAAUGAAAUUAUAUGUUUGAAGUGGGAGCACAGAGGUGGGGCUAUGGAAGGGCUCAAUAGGUACUAGGGGUCAUCUUUACCACCACCAUCACCACCAUCAUCAUCAUCAACCUCAUCAUCAUCUGGCAAUGGUACAAUGUAAGAACAGAAAAAAAAUUGUCCCAAGAAAGACUGUAAUCAUAAACCUGGGAUUAUCUGAAAUCUGCACAAUUCAUCUUAGUUUUCCUUGAUCCCUCAAGAAUUGGGUUAGCCAUCAUCACAAUAGAAGCAUGAAUUCCUAGGAUUUAGAAGGAUAAUGUUAUGAUGCUAGGGUAAGUGAGGCUUUAACUAGAAAACUCAAAAAGAGUUCAGGUUUAUUUUAUAUUAACAACUGGGUACAAGAAGAGAAUGAAUUUCCUGAGUGUCUGGAAAGCUCUGGGAUCCAGAAGUAGGUAGAGAGGAACUUCCAGCAGUGGCAGAUGAGAAACAAAUGCCUCACACCCUUAAGAGCUUUAGAAGGUCAAGUCAAGUACAUCCUGGAAAUCUAGAGGAAGGUGGCAGAGCCAAGGGCAAAGGCAGCCUAUGGGCAGGGCAGAAGUCAGCUGUUUGAAGUUGUCAGCCUCCAUGUGGAUGGUAGCCCAGGAGGGGCAUAGGCACUGUGGAGGAGCCACCAGGCUGUGGCUGCUCGGCAGGGCCUGGACAGCAUAGGAGGUCACUGUGUUAAUUAACAUGAGUGGCACUUUCUACCCCUUGUGUUCUCCCAAACAGCCACAACUAUGGGAAGUGGGGCAAACUCAAUGAGAAUCAAUGAGACUUCACCAAAGAUACACAAAGUGAAGAAGCCUGGAGCGAUAUAGGUGGUCAAAGUCUUAUUCUGUCUCUUACAGAAUCCAAGAAAUUUUAGGGGCUGAACUUGUGGAUGAACUUUGAAAGAAUUUGGAUAUUGGAGUAAGCUAGU